GAUGAACGCUGGCGGCGUGCCUAAUACAUGCAAGUCGAGCGAACAGACGAGGAGCUUGCUCCUCUGACGUUAGCGGCGGACGGGUGAGUAACACGUGGAUAACCUACCUAUAAGACUGGGAUAACUUCGGGAACCCGGAGCUAAUACCGGAUCACAUGUUGAACCGCAUGGUUCAACAGUGAAAGACGGUCUUGCUGUCACUUAUAGAUGGAUCCGCGCCGCAUUAGCUAGUUGGUAAGGUAACGGCUUACCAAGGCAACGAUGCGUAGCCGACCUGAGAGGGUGAUCGGCCACACUGGAACUGAGACACGGUCCAGACUCCUACGGGAGGCAGCAGUAGGGAAUCUUCCGCAAUGGGCGAAAGCCUGACGGAGCAACGCCGCGUGAGUGAAGAAGGUCUUCGGAUCGUAAAACUCUGUUAUUAGGGAAGAACAAAUGUGUAAGUAACUAUGCACGUCUUGACGGUACCUAAUCAGAAAGCCACGGCUAACUACGUG
rnacentral:rRNA from 1 species